GUAAUUUAUUAUUUUUUUUCUUAAGGGCUUUUGUCCUCUCAUGACAGACCAUUAUGGAGUUCCUCCUCUCCAGGCACCUCUUUGUUACCCUAUUACUUGCGAAAUUAAGUGAAAAGGAAAAUUGAACCAAGCCUGUUUUCAUUCUGAUAGAUCACUUUUUUUUUUUUUUUGAUAUCCCUCUCUCUCUACAGGAGGUGUCAGAAGAGCUUUUAUUGAUUGACUGUGGGAUGUCAUGAACUUCAGACAGGGAUUUCUCAGUCUUAAAAAUUUUGAGAUGUGGCUUGGGUUGCUUCUGUGGCAUAGGUUCAAGCCCUAGCCUAGGAACUUCCGAAUGCCACAGGCAAAAACAAAAACAAAACAAACUGGGAGACUAUCAUUGAAGCAACAACCUAAGUAAAAAGCCUCCGGGGUGAGAGAGAGGAGUCUCAAGUCAAGCCAGUCCUUACAUAGUCACGCUUUGCCUUCCUAGCCCAACUCUGUUAAUUGUAGCAGUUCUCAAGGUGUGGUCCUGGGACCAGUAGCUUUACCAGCAUUUCGUGGGGAUUUGCUAGAAAUCCUUAGGCCCCAUGCUAGACCUACUAUGCUGGGGCAUAGGAGUUGGUAUUUUAACAAGUGAUUCUGAUGCUCAUUGACUUGAAACCACUGCAUUAUUUUAUGCUGCUUGCCCACCCCAUACCUCCCCUUUCUUUUAAAAAUCUAUCCAUCCCUUUCAACCCCCUUCCCUCCACACCUGUAUACAAUGUUCAAGGCCUUAAGGAUUUUUUCAAAGUUUUUUCAUUAAGGAAAAUUUGGAUAUAUACAAAUAUAUAAAAAUAGAAAAUAAUGAGGAAUCUCAGUGUACUGAAUAACAAGUUUCCACAGUUGUGAAUGUAUGGUCGAGAUCGAUUCAUCAUUAUCUUCACUGAUGCUCACCCUGCCUAAGAUUAUUUUGAAGAAAAUUAUAUCAAUUAAUCUGUGAAUAUGUUAGAAAAUUUCUGUAGAAGCGACCAGCUGGCCUGACUGCCUUCCUUCUUUCCUUCCUAGGGUACCUUUAUCCUUUUCUUGCAAAAGAACCAACACAUAAUCUCAUAAUAUCAACUAUCCAGUCUUCAUAUUUCCCCAGUUAUACAAUUUUUUUCUCUUUUCAAAAAAUAGGUUGUUUGCUUGAAUUGAGUCUGAAAUAAGGUCUUUUAAUUGUUUGUAAUUGAUAAGCCCCCUCCCAUCCCUUUGUUCUUUUUGGUUGAAUAAAUUAGGCUGUUUAUCCUGUAGAACUUCAGUCUUGAUUUUGCUAAUUGCAUAUCUGUGGUGUCAUUUAACUUGUUCCUCUGACUGCAUUUCCUACAGAUUGGUAGCUAGAUUUAGAGGCAUGAGGAGGUUCAGUUUUGAGUUUUGGCACAGAUACCUGAUAGGUUGUCUUGUGUUUCCAUUAAGGGGCACAUAAUGUCUAUUGGUAACCAUUGAUAGUCAUUGUAGGAAUCCAUUAGUUCACUAGGAAUUGCAAAAGGUGAUAUUCUCUUUUUUAAAAAAGCAACUCUUCCUUAUAUUUAAUAAUUACAAUAUUUUUAAAUAGAGAAAUUUUUCCUUGUCAACUAUUUGAUACUCUGAAGUAAAGUUUAAAUGGGAAAGGAAGGAUAAGUGUUCAGUUAUUUCCCUUUAUUUAUCAAUAUUCAAACUAAUGAGUUGAUUCCUUAGGGUCUCCAAAGAUGAUGAAUGAAUGAAUUUUUAGUAUUUGUUAACGAAUUUUUAGUAUUUGUUAAUGGAUUUAAAUACAUGUAAUAUUUUUAGUAUUUGUUAAUGUAUUUAAAUAUAUGUAAUAUUUUCAUCCAUUACUAAACAUGGAGUACCAAUAAAUACUCAAAUUGGCCAGAGAAAGGCUCUUUAUGUUGGCUUCUAUAUCCUUAGUCCUUGAUUACUUUCUUGCUUUUUGGUAUGAAAAGACAUCCCAGGAUCAUCUUGGAAAAUCCUGACCCAGACCUGGAAUCAGCCUUUUGCUCAAAGAACCUUGGUAUUUAAGACUACAAUCUGAGUGCUUGGGGUACUAAUUGCUACUUGGUUUUUCAGUGACCAUAUCCAAGAUAUAAGGUUUUUUUGUAUUUGUUUUUGUUUUUUUUUUGCCUUUUUUUGUCUUUUUAGGGCCACACCUGUGACAUAUGGAGGUUCCCAGCCUAGGGAUCGAAUCAGAGCUAGAGCUGCUGGCCUGUGCCACAGCCACAGCAACAUGGAUCCGAGUUGUGUCUGCAGCCUGCAGCACAGCUCAAGGCAACUGCCGGAUCCUUAACCUACUGAGCAAAGCCAGGGAUUGAACCCGCGUCCUCAUGAAUACUAGUUGGGUUCAUUAACCACUGAGCCACGACAGGAACUCCAGAAAUAAGUUUUUGUUUGUUUAAAACCUAGGCACAGUACUUAGUACUUGAAGAAAUAGAUAUACGAUAUGGUUCCUGGAACUUCCUGGUGGCCUAGUGGUUAAGGAUUCAGCAUUGUCACUGCUGUGGCUUGGGUUUGAUCCCUGGUCCAAGAACUU
rnacentral:lncRNA from 1 species